rnacentral:rRNA from 1 species
AUGAACGCUGGCGGCGUGCCUAAUACAUGCAAGUCGAGCGAACAGAUGAGGAGCUUGCUCCUCUGACGUUAGCGGCGGACGGGUGAGUAACACGUGGAUAACCUACCUAUAAUACUGUGAUAACUUCGGGAAACCGGAGCUAAUACCGGAUAAUAUAUUGAACCGCAUGGUUCAAUAGUGAAAGACGGUUUUGCUGUCACUUAUAGAUGGAUCCGCGCCGCAUUAGCUAGUUGGUAAGGUAACGGCUUACCAAGGCAACGAUGCGUAGCCGACCUGAGAGGGUGAUCGGCCACACUGGAACUGAGACACGGUCCAGACUCCUACGGGAGGCAGCAGUAGGGAAUCUUCCGCAAUGGGCGAAAGCCUGACGGAGCAACGCCGCGUGAGUGAUGAAGGUCUUCGGAUCGUAAAACUCUGUUAUUAGGGAAGAACAAAUGUGUAAGUAACUAUGCACGUCUUGACGGUACCUAAUCAGAAAGCCACGGCUAACUACGUG